CACAGGCGGAGCUCCCGGUAGGGCGAGGCAGGGCGCCCGCCCUACCUUGAUUUUUGGCAGAAAGAUUUAUACAUGUACGCAUACGCUGAGUGGUUGGCUGAUUCUAUAUGCGUGGAGUCAGGUCGCUAGGAAAAGGGAAAAAGAAGAAAAAGGAGUGGGCCUAGUCGCUCAGCUUCGGUCCACACUGUUUAGGCCCACUAGUUCCUGCUGCCAGGCAUCGUUCCCUAAGCGGAACUGUACAGCUAAGAAUGAAGGAGGGCUAGGUAUUAGAAACCUCCAAGCCAUUAAUGAAGGCCUUAUUCUUGUUUCAGCUUGGAGACUUGCAGAUGCUCCUAACUCUUAUUUGUACCUUGUACUUAAAUCCAAAUACUUUCCGAACUCUUCCAUUUGGACUGCUACUUCCACUGUUCCAAAAUCUUCUUAUUGGUCUUCCAUUCUCAAAAUGCUUCCCAAGUUAAAAUCUCACUCUUUCUACCAAAUUACUCAGGGGAAUAUUGCCCUCUGGAGUUCCCCAUGGUGUUCUUCCUGGUCCACUAUUCAUAAUCAUCUCAUCAUUCAGCCACCUGGCUUUAUUUAUCCUGCUCAGGUUAAGGAUCUAUGGAUUCCUGGGCAAAAAACUUGGAACAACAAUCUUAUUCAUUCUCUUUUCCAAGAGCCUAUGGCUACUUCUAUUACUCAAACCUCCAUCAUUCAGGAUGACUGCCCAGAUAUUCUCUGUUGGGACCUCACUCCGAGUGGCAAAUGCACUUCUAAAUCCACUUAUAAAUUGUGCUUGCAGGAUAUUCAAAGCAUUACCAGGAAUACUC
rnacentral:rRNA from 1 species